rnacentral:lncRNA from 1 species
CUUUCCCUCCCCACCCCCAACGUUACCUAAGGUGACUUUUUCCCCUUUGAGAAAACACGAUCAGUGCAUAAAUCAAGAUCUUCCUUCCUUAAUGCUUCUGGCUACUCCAACUGCAAAACCUUCGGUAGCUGUCUCUCAGGCUAAGCCCUAGAAGUUGAACGUGUCCAACACACCGUUUUCAUGGACUAAAUAUGCUGGCUAUAUGUUCUCUAUACACUCAGAGUAAUACCUUCAGACCAUUAACGGUUUUUUCCUGCUUCGUGUGAAGCAGAUCAAUGUGAACGCGAUAGUUUAGAAGGCUUCUUUGAAUUCUCUAAUCUUAUAUUUUCCCUCCCCUCUUUUCUCCCCCCCCCCUUUGCCUCUUCUUUAUUUAAUUUGUUAGACUGUAAGGUUCCCGAGAGAAUCGUGUUUUUAAAACAAAAUUAUAGGGCGCCACUUUGUCAUAGCCAUUUCAAAGUAUUAGUGUCAUCAUCAUCAUCAUCUCCCAGCUGAAGAAAUCCUCUCUCAAAACCUGGCUUUCGUGAGCAAACGAUUUUCUUCUACCCGAAACAGGUGAAUCCCAAGGAACCGCCAACAUUACCCGGGCGAAAUAAAUAAAAAUAUCUGGCAUCUAGGAAAAUCUUGAAAGGUAGUUUUUAAACUUCCCGAGUGACUAUAAUUCGGAAAUGCUUUUCCUCUGUUAGAUGAGAAAGUUUCCCCAAAUAUAUAUACAUAAAAAUAUAUUUUAUAUACAUUUAAUUGUUGGAAGCAUAUGCAUGCAGAUUAUAGGGACCUCGGGGGCUUUUGCUACCACUUUUCCUCCUUUUCAGUUUAAGAGGGAUUUUUAUGUUGUUGUUGUUUUUACUUAUCCCAAGUGACCAAUCACAGGUUGUUUAACUUGAGCCCCUGGAUAAAUAGAAACACAUUACUGUUCGUGGUUAAGUUGCGGUCGGGCUCCUUUUUCCCUGCAUGCAAGCGGCGUUUUAGACGAAUAUUUGUUAACUACUCAUUAAUGGCACGGAGCGCAGCGCGGAGGGCUGAUUAUGCCCCCCAGACGGAACCGUGCAGGACCGGCUCCCUGAAACCUAAAACAAUCCACAUGGCGAAAUGACGUUAAAAGGCACACACACACACACACGCAUCACCCUCCACCUCUCGGGACUUGGAGCAAGAUCGUGCUGCUUAAGAGCUAGGGGAGAGAGAGAAAGGGAGAUCUCGGGCAAAUGGGCCAGAUGAGAAAGCGCGUUUGGUUCAAACGAUGAGCGCGAAACAAAUGCUCUCAACAAACACGCCAAGCGAUGGAAACUUUGGAAAAUGUGAGAUGCUGAGUGAGGCAACGAAAAAAAGCCAGAUCUCUCUGUUUCCAGCCUCCUAUUGAUAAGGAACUGAGUGGGCAGUGAAGGAUCCGUUCCUGUCCUAGAGCAGUUAGGAUUCCUGAAUUUCCCUGCACAGAAAAGAAAAAAGGAGAUGAUUAGAAACUGAGAAGGAAGAUGCAGAGGGCGGGGGGAGCAGGGGCGGUAGGGGGAGAAUAGCAAUGAGCAGGAAAAUAAGGGGUGGGAAGAAAAAUAAUAAUGGAUGUGAAUGCACGAUCAGGGCAGGCAGCGAAACAAUUUUAUCGUCCCCAACUUCGGGGUUAAAGGGACUCCCUGGCCAUCAUCUUGGCCCCUUGACCCCAAUGGCUUCAGUCCUAAGGAACCUUCUAAUUCAGUUCCAUGGAGAGCAGUGGGACUUGGUGGCUCUGCUCCUGCGCGCCAGCGGCCUUUAGCAAAAGCACCAUGGGCGCAGAGUGAGACUUCUUCCCUCGACGGCUGACUCCAAAGGUGAACGGAGGACUGCGCGGAGAAACAGGAGCGACCCACCCGGCGAGGCUACGCUAUAUUUAUUCGAUAAAUGCAUGCGUGGCCAUAGCUGCAAUGUGUUGGCAUGGCUACUUAAGUUAGGAAGAACAAUCCCUACCUUUUAUCAUUUUAAAAAUAUGACCCAUGUCCGGAGAGCAGCAGGAUCUGAGCGAAAUUCCCGUCGCCGGCAAAUGUCUCUGCCCCGCACCCCGCACAAUAUUGACUCCCUUAUCCAUAAUAAAUUAAAUUCCCAUCGGCGCUCCAUGCUGGUUGGGAUCCCCCCCCCCAAUGAAAAGAGAGGGGAAAUAUAUUGACCAUCUUUCCCCGCUGUUUUUUCUAGAUUCUAUAUUAUGUAGGUUCAGCAAUAAUAGAAAGCAAAAUCACCCACGGAUUGCAGUGGCUGGGUAAGGUAUUGGCACUGGAGUGAAAGAAGGAAUCUGCAAAACAAUUCACGAGGUUGCUCCUGCUGCUGCUGCUGAGGCUAAUAAUAAUAAUAAUAAUAAUAAUAUGCCGUUGCCUAUAUGCCACUAUCAAAGUCGCAAGUAGUAGAGAGCAACGGCGACGAUGAGAGCACAAUGUUUUGGGCCCCAAUCCUUGGGCUUAGACUGUUUUAAUUUACAAGGCACAACAGGUGCCUCUGCGGGGCAGAAGCUGGUCGAGAGCUAACAAAUUUUGCUUUUCCUUCGCUCUGGUUUGCCAAACAGAGACUUUCCGCUCACUCUUUCAGACCCUCAGAGCGAAUCCCAGCAUCUGGUGCAAAGUCGGGUCGAAUCCAUUCGACGUUUGAAAUGGUGUUGGAUGUGUGUUUCCUACGGCCUGCCGCUGAAUAGCAACGACAACAGACAAACACAAGCAAAUAUACAAACACGCAAACAAAUGCACGACUGCUUCGGCCUCCCAGUCCCUAAAUACUGUAGAGUUGAUUUGGGACCUGUCCUGUUGGUUCUGAAUGGACGAAGCUUGAGCCCGCACACUUACUUGCGAGGAAGCCCCAUUGGGCGCAGUCGAGACCGGCGGCAUCCUACACCUUGGGAGGAAGACUCCGCACUCCCUCGGUGCGCAAUCUCUGCAGGGCAUUUGAGUGCGCAAGGGAGCUGCUGGUGAUGGCAGAGAAGCGGUGUGUGUCUCUGUAUUAUCUUCACAACAAGUUUGUGAGGUAGGUUAGGCCGAGGGGAUUGCGGCGGGGGUGGGAGAGAGAGAGGCCCCGGGCCACCCGAGGAACUUCAUGUGCCCAGGAUUGGAACCCAGGACCAGGAAUCAACUGCUCGCUCUGGCUGCAGCAGAGCUUUCUACUUCCAAGCAAGAAGGCGCUCCCGAAGCCGAGUCCGCGCGCUGGGGAAGCGGCUGCAAGUCCUCACCGGUGGCCGCUGUCAGGGAAUCAGGAGCCGGAUGAGACCCGCCGGGAGCGGAUCUGGCCUUGGCUGCGUUCCUUUCCAAGGGCAAAGAGGUGCGAAGGGCAUCCCAUUCUAAGCCCGCCGCUUUCGCUCGCUGGGGCUGACUUUUCCCAUCCAAGCAGCGCGCACACCCCUUGCUCGCCUCCAGCCCUCUUCUCCCUCCCUCCCCCCCCC